rnacentral:rRNA from 1 species
GGGGAAUAUUGGACAAUGGGCGCAAGCCUGAUCCAGCCAUGCCGCGUGAGUGAUGAAGGCCCUAGGGUUGUAAAGCUCUUUCACCGGUGAAGAUAAUGACGGUAACCGGAGAAGAAGCCCCGGCUAACUUCGUGCCAGUAGCCGCGGUAAUACGAAGGGGGCUAGCGUUGUUCGGAUUUACUGGGCGUAAAGCGCACGUAGGCGGGCUAAUAAGUCAGGGGUGAAAUCCCGGGGCUCAACCCCGGAACUGCCUUUGAUACUGUUAGUCUUGAGUAUGGAAGAGGUGAGUGGAACUCCGAGUGUAGAGGUGAAAUUCGUAGAUAUUCGGAGGAACACCAGUGGCGAAGGCGGCUCACUGGUCCAUUACUGACGCUGAGGUGCGAAAGCGUGGGGAGCAAAC